GAACUUAGGAUAAUUAGACCAAGGGCCUUCAAAGCCCUAAGUAGAAGUUAAACCCUUCUAGUUUC
rnacentral:tRNA from 1 species